rnacentral:rRNA from 1 species
CGGGUGCUUAGUGGCGCACGGGUGCGUAACGCGUGGGAAUCUGCCCCUUGGUUCGGAAUAACAGUUGGAAACGACUGCUAAUACCGGAUGAUGACGUAAGUCCAAAGAUUUAUCGCCGAGGGAUGAGCCCGCGUAGGAUUAGGUAGUUGGUGUGGUAAAGGCGCACCAAGCCGACGAUCCUUAGCUGGUCUGAGAGGAUGAUCAGCCACACUGGGACUGAGACACGGCCCAG